rnacentral:rRNA from 1 species
CACUCCUACGGGAGGCAGCAGUGGGGAAUAUUGCACAAUGGGCGCAAGCCUGAUGCAGCCAUGCCGCGUGUAUGAAGAAGGCCUUCGGGUUGUAAAGUACUUUCAGCGGGGAGGAAGGCGAUAAGGUUAAUAACCUUGUUGAUUGACGUUACCCGCAGAAGAAGCACCGGCUAACUCCGUGCCAGCAGCCGCGGUAAUACGGAGGGUGCAAGCGUUAAUCGGAAUUACUGGGCGUAAAGCGCACGCAGGCGGUCUGUCAAGUCGGAUGUGAAAUCCCCGGGCUCAACCUGGGAACUGCAUUCGAAACUGGCAGGCUAGAGUCUUGUAGAGGGGGGUAGAAUUUCAGGUGUAGCGGUGAAAUGCGUAGAGAUCUGGAGGAAUACCGGUGGCGAAGGCGGCCCCCUGGACAAAGACUGACGCUCAGGUGCGAAAGCGUGGGGAGCAAACAGGAUUAGAAACCCUGGUAGUCCCA